GACGAACGCUGGCGGCGUGCCUAAUACAUGCAAGUCGAGCGGAAGUUGUAGAGCUUGCUCUUCAACUUUAGCGGCGGACGGGUGAGUAACACGUGGGCAACCUGCCCUGCAGAUCGGGAUAACUCCGGGAAACCGGUGCUAAUACCGAAUAGUUUUCGCCACCUCCUGGUGGCGUACGGAAAGACGGUUUCGGCUGUCACUGCAGGAUGGGCCCGCGGCGCAUUAGCUAGUUGGUGGGGUAACGGCCCACCAAGGCGACGAUGCGUAGCCGACCUGGGAGGGUGCGCGGCCACACUGGGACUGAGACACGGCCCAGACUCCUACGGGAGGCAGCAGUAGGGAAUCUUCCGCAAUGGACGAAAGUCUGACGGAGCAACGCCGCGUGAGUGACGAAGGUUUUCGGAUCGUAAAACUCUGUUGUGAGGGAAGAACAAGUACCAACUAACUACUGGUACCUUGACGGUACCUCACCAGAAAGCCACGGCUAACUACGUGCCAGCAGCCGCCGUAACAC
rnacentral:rRNA from 1 species